rnacentral:rRNA from 1 species
GUCCACGCCCUAAACGAUGCAUAUUUGGUGUGGGUCAUUCAGUUGAUCCGUGCCGGAGCUAACGCGUUAAAUAUGCCGCCUGGGGAGUACAGUCGCAAGGCUGAAACUCAAAGGAAUUGACGGGGCCCGCACAAGCGGUGGAGCAUGUGGUUCAAUUCGACGCAACGCGAAGAACCUUACCUGGGCUCGAACGGCUGGUCAACGGCUUUGGAAACAGAGCUACUCCGCAAGGAGGUCCAGUCGAGGUGCUGCAUGGCUGUCGU